GAUGAACGCUGGCGGCGUGCCUAACACAUGCAAGUCGAACGGUGUCAUGCCUACAGGUCCCUCGGGGGGAAGGGGGAAAGGGUUAGUGGCCGACCGGUGAGUAACACGUUGAGAAACUGGCCCAUACCAUGGGGUAACCGACGGAAAAUUCGGCUAAUACCGAAUAACCACAAACUGCCGCAUUGCUCAAUUAGUAAAGAAAAUCGGUCUAAGAAGGACCCGCGAGUGGUUAGCCAGUUUGGAGGGUAAGCGCCUACCAAAGCGACGAUAAGUAGCCGGGCUGAGAGGAUGAUCGGCCACAUUGGAACUGAGAAACGGUCCAAACUCCUACGGGAGGCAGCAGUGGGGGAUAUUGCACAAUGGGGGGAACCCUGAUGCAGCGACGCCGCGUGAGCGAAGAAGUCCUUCGGGACGUAAAGCUCUAUAAUAAGGGAAGAUAAUGACGGUACCUGAAGAAGAAGCCCCGGCUAACUACGUG
rnacentral:rRNA from 1 species